rnacentral:rRNA from 1 species
GACGAAAGCUGGCGGCGUGCCUAAUACAUGCAAGUAGGACGAAGUUGCGAACGGGUGAGUAACACGUAGGUAACUGACUAUUAGAGGGGGAUAACUAUUGGAAACGAUAGCUAAUAACGCAUACUAGUAGAUGGACCUGCGUUGUAUUAGCUAGUAGGUAGGGUAAUGGCCUACUGAGGCGACGAUACCUAGCCGACCUGAGAGGGUGAUCUGCCACACUGGGACUGAGACACGGCCCAGACUCCUACGGCAGGCAGCAGUAGGGAAUCUUCGGCAAUUGGGGGAACCCUGACCGAGCAACGCCGCGUGAGUGAAGAAGGUUUUCGUAUCGUAAAGCUCUGUUGUUAAUGAAGCGGUACUUAACCAGAAAGGGACGGCUAACUACGUGCCAGCAGCCGCGGUAAUAC